rnacentral:rRNA from 1 species
GCUGACGAGUGGCGGACGGGUGAGUAAUGUCUGGGAAACUGCCUGAUGGAGGGGGAUAACUACUGGAAACGGUGGCUAAUACCGCAUAACGUCGCAAGACCAAAGAGGGGGACCUUCGGGCCUCUUGCCAUCAGAUGUGCCCAGAUGGGAUUAGCUUGUUGGUGAGGUAACGGCUCACCAAGGCGACGAUCCCUAGCUGGUCUGAGAGGAUGACCAGCCACACUGGAACUGAGACACGGUCCAGACUCCUACGGGAGGCAGCAGUGGGGAAUAUUGCACAAUGGGCGCAAGCCUGAUGCAGCCAUGCCGCGUGUAUGAAGAAGGCCUUCGGGUUGUAAAGUACUUUCAGCGGGGAGGAAGGUGUUGUGGUUAAUAAGCGCAGCAAUUGACGUUACCCGCAGAAGAAGCACCGGCUAACUCCGUGCCAGCAGCCGCGGUAAUACGGAGGGUGCAAGCGUUAAUCGGAAUUACUGGGCGUAAAGCGCACGCAGGCGGUCUGUCAAGUCGGAUGUGAAAUCCCCGGGCUCAACCUGGGAACUGCAUUCGAAACUGG